UAAAAACUUCACACACAACAGCAUACAAGCAGUAGCUAAAUACACACUUCAUCACACAGCUGCAGUAGAGGAAAACUUCAAUCUGUCAUGAAUGAGAACCUGUUUUAACAAAGUUUAACACAGUAAACUUCUGUUGUCCUGGGGUAUCACUUGUCACUCCCCCUUUUUGUCAAAAAUGUUGCCAAAGCAACACUUUCAAUUACAGAUCCACAAAUAGUAAUUAAAAUUACACAAAUGACAGAAAAAAACACAAAGACAAAUAUUUAAGCCUCAGCCUCAUCAUCAGCCUCCUCUUCAGAGCUGGC
rnacentral:lncRNA from 1 species